UUUAAUGUUCCAAAUAGAUUUUUAAAACUGGUCGAGUGCACCCUGGAUGUCUUAAUGAUGCCGUAACAGGACGUGAACGAGAGCAACACUGAUAGUCACGUGACCGUGGGAGGAGGAGGAUCUCAAAGAGCUACAGUGAGCCGUGUAGAAGAGGAGAGCCACAUGUGGGAGAGCCCGUGGGGACACAUGCGCAGGAUUUGGCAGACUUUAACUUCCCUGCGCUUGCUGCUGCUGCUGUACACGAGAGGAUCAACUGAGGUCGGGAAGACAUACAAUGGAAAGCCUCAAGUCUGGGAAAAACUCGAGUGGACCUGCCUGCCUACCCUCUCUUUCCUGAGCGAAGGGGUCUGUUGCAGACACGGCCUUCCUUCGGUGGCGCCAGAUGCCAGCUUCCAGGAACUUCAAAGGGGUGGUCUCAACACCAGUGACAAUCCAAGAAGCCCAGACCUUCAGCGCCUGCUCGCCUGGGGCUGUGGAUACAGGGAAUUGAACCCAGAUUCUUUGAA